rnacentral:lncRNA from 1 species
UUUGGAAUGACCAGUGAUUUCAGCUCUCACUCCCUUCUCAUCAGCACAGUUGCAAAAAAUUAUGCAGAAGAGCAGAUCAGAUUGAUGCAGUUUGAUAAGGAUUCAGCCCACCAUUGCCGACUUUGAAGGUGAAGGAGAGGGACCAUGAGCCACAGAAAACCAGCAGCCUCUAGGAACUGGAAAAAGCAAGGAAAUGGAUUCUCCCCUAGAGCUUCAGCCUCCCUCCCAGCACAAGGUCUUAGCACUAUUUCAUCUUCCCAGAAGGCUUCUCCCUCUUCCACUCUGCUUCUAGGUUCUCACUCUGUAGCCCAGUCUGGAGUGCAGUGGUACAAUAAUGGCUCACUUCAGCUUUGACCUUCCAGGCUCAAGCGGUCCUUCUACCUCAGCCUCAGGAGCAACUAGGACCACGGGUGCACCCCACCAUGCCCAGCUAACUUUUGUAUUUUUUUGUAGACACAGGAUUUUGCCAUGUUGCUCAGUCCCAGUAUCGUCACCAGAUGAGAAUAUGUAUGGGCUCACGAACAAGAAAAUUGCUU